rnacentral:lncRNA from 1 species
AUGAAGGUGUUUGGUGCUGUAAUGAAGGCAAGCCAAAUGCCGCAAUUAAGGUGACUAGGGGCAGACCGCAAUGAAGGUGUUUGGUGCUGUAAUGAAGGCAAGCCAAAUGCCGCAAUUAAGGUGACUAGGGGCAAUUAAAGCGGAAAUUCCAACACACCCCUCACGCUUGGGCCUCAAUGAGCCCGAAGCGUGGACGAUGCAGGAUGUCCAACAAUGGAUCUAGGAUAGGCUUUGAGACCAUCUUAAGAAAUGUGGUUGGGCCUAACUCAUCAUACAAAACUGACUUGUAAGGUGAGGAUUGUCCCCAUUUAUAAACACAACACAAGCCAUAUCUCCGCAACGUGGGACUAAAUCCACCCCAUCAAACCUAACACAAUGAAGGUGUUGGGAGCUGCAAUGAAGGGAAGCCAAAUGCCGCAAUUAAGACGACUAGUGGCAGAUCACAAUUAAGACGGAAAUUCCAACAGAUACUUAAAAACUUUCUCAACUUUUUGGACAG